UACGUAGGGUGCGAGCGUUGUCCGGAAUUAUUGGGCGUAAAGAGCUCGUAGGCGGCUUGUCGCGUCGGAUGUGAAAGCCCCGGGGCUUAACCCCGGGUCUGCAUUCGAUACGGGCAGGCUAGAGUUCGGUAGGGGAGAUCGGAAUUCCUGGUGUAGCGGUGAAAUGCGCAGAUAUCAGGAGGAACACCGGUGGCGAAGGCGGAUCUCUGGGCCGAUACUGACGCUGAGGAGCGAAAGCGUGGGGAGCGAACAGG
rnacentral:rRNA from 1 species